rnacentral:lncRNA from 1 species
UUAUUGAAACAUUCAACCAGUAUACUAUAAAAAUAUCAAUAAUAAAGAAAAUACAAAGAAAAUGCGAAAAGAACAAAGUAAAAUAAAAAUAGAAAAGACAUAAAAAGAGGUACAACCACAAAUGAAACGGGGAAAAGAACCUGUAAGACCGCUCGGUUAAAGUAAGACAAAAAUUAACGAAUGAAACUUUCCCAAACAGCAUGGAAGGUUCCUAAAACCGUUCAAAUUUUCUCCAUGGAAGGUUCGAAACAACUUAUAUUUUUCCAACAUAGUACAACCAAAGUUGGUCACAUAUAAACACACAUUCAUCCCUAUGAACGGACACACACAAAUCCUUCCUCUAUGAGCACCUCUGAAAAACUGGACGACGCAUCAUAUUGAACUUGAUGAAGUCUCCAGAGUCAACAGAGAAUUAUUCUCACACUUAACGCAGAUCGCUGAAAGGUCUGAAAUAAAUUCAUAAAAGUGCAACACCAAUGUUAAGUCUGGGGUUUAAAUACUGCCAGGCAGG